AUUGAACGCUGGCGGCAGGCCUAACACAUGCAAGUCGGACGGUAGCACAGAGGAGCUUGCUCCUUGGGUGACGAGUGGCGGACGGGUGAGUAAUGUCUGGGGAUCUGCCCGAUAGAGGGGGAUAACCACUGGAAACGGUGGCCAAUACCGCAUAACGUCGCAAGACCAAAGAGGGGGACCUUCGGGCCUCUCACUAUCGGAUGAACCCAGAUGGGAUUAGCUAGUAGGCGGGGUAAUGGCCCACCUAGGCGACGAUCCCUAGCUGGUCUGAGAGGAUGACCAGCCACACUGGAACUGAGACACGGUCCAGACUCCUACGGGAGGCAGCAGUGGGGAAUAUUGCACAAUGGGCGCAAGCCUGAUGCAACCAUGCCGCGUGUAUGAAGAAGGCCUUCGGGUUGUAAAGUACUUUCAGCGGGGAGGAAGGCGGUGCGGUUAAUAACCGCACCGAUUGACGUUACCCGCAGAAGAAGCACCGGCUAACUCCGUGCCAGCCGCCGCCGUAA
rnacentral:rRNA from 1 species